CGGCGUGGCUCCGGCGUUGCUCCGGUGACUUAGAUCUAGCGCACCGUAGCCGCUCGAGCACCGGAACGCCAUGGAUGGGAAGGCUUCUUCCUCCCCUGUCCCGAUGCCAUGAACGACGCAGCUCCACCACCAGACCAUGGAGACGGAGCUCCUUCUCCCGCAUCACUCAUGGAGCCUCCCUCUCAGCGCCCGGAGCCCUAGAGAGAAUUCAAGGCCAUGGCCGGAGAGAGGAGCUGCUCCUAGUACAGGACGCCAUGGAAGGUGCUGCUCUGAUGAGGAGAAACUGCUGCUGUAGAACGUCCUCCUCCCAUCCCCUACCCCCACACGUGGUGAGCUCCUAUGCAUAUGUGGAUAAUCAGGAACUAAUGUUUAAUUGAUUACUUCAUAAUCUGUUCCACUGUAUGCAUGAACGCUCACACAUUUUUUCCUGCCAUUUAUGUACAUUACUAUUGGACAGUGAGAAGAUUUCCAUUGUGUGCAUGAACAUGCUUUUUUUUCGUCAAUCCAUCUCUUAUCAUGCAUACAUCCUAUCAUAUAUUAUAUGAUAAAUCUUUUAGUUGCUCACUGUCUAUAUAGGUGCUCAAAUUUUUAGAUUCCAUAGAACUUCUG